UUUUUUUUUUUUUUUUUUUUGAGAAAUUAAACACUCGAUCUCUCCUUAAGCCCACGUUGAAAAGACUUGUCACACUUCUCCAAGUCCAAACACUGGAAAGCUCUCACCUGCCACCGUCGCCCUGUUGUCCCUGCUGGUUCUCCACGUGUCUUUCCCUCCCCAACCCCCUACUCAUUUCCCCAGUCCCACCUCUGGGUUUGGCAAGUCUAGGGCAGAUGAAUUACUCUGAUAGAGAGAACAUUGAUGGUUUUUAUACUUCUUCCUGGGUUUUUGUUGGGUUUUUUUGUUUUGUUGUGGGGUUUGUUUGUUUUUUUUUUUUUUUUUUUUUGUCUCGGUUGGGGAGGUAUUUUCAAUAGCAGAGUAUGCAUAAGCAUAAGAUUUUAAUAGUUUCCAUAAGACAUUUUUGCAUAGCUAUUUAAUGUCUCCUUAUAAAGCCUUAAUUCCUUUUCUAACGCUUUUAUUUUAUUCAUUUUUGAAGUAUGAAUUUGUAGAGACAGUGAAUGUCAUUGUAGACAAGGCACCCAAAGGCACUUGUCACAGAAAGUUAUGCUUCUAGCUGCCUUAUCAUGUUUCAAUGCAAAAUGUCUGUGGUCGUCAAGGGUGUUGGAAAUAUUAUGUUUAUUGAACAGGGCUUUCCUCCGUUGCUGUGCUCGCGGUAGGUGACCUGAAUUAGGGCGUGCACACCUAGGAGGAGGAGGAGAGACCUGUAUGAGUUAGAAGAUAGCUUGUAAAUAAUCUCCUAAUGCUGGUUUUUAGUUUUAUGUUGCAGAAGUUCAUGGGAUAGAAUUUAAUGCAGAGUGAAAACCAUUUUAUUUCAAAGUUAUUAAAAAGUUUUAUUAUUAGGAAGUAAAUGUAUUGUUGCAGUGUUGUGCCUGUUUCAAGGCUUUUGUUUAGCAGAGUGAAUGUAAAAUACAGUAAAAUGUUAAGAUUGUCAUCUACUUUAUGAAAUACAUCAACUUGGAACUUUUUUUUAAAGGCUCCAUCGAGGAAUUGAGGUGUGCAAUAGGUAGCAAGUACACAGUUGUGUUUUUAUGCCACAUCAGAGAUCUAUAAAAUCUUUCAAUUUUUGCUAAUGGCUGAAUUCUUAUUUAUGGAUUAAUAAGAAGAUCAUGCCUUUAGCAAAUAUUUUAGUUUUGUUUUAAAUUUAAAUUAAGACAUUCCCAAAUGCCUUCCCCCUCCCCAUCUUAGGGUGGGAUGAAUUGUUUAUAUAUAAGCAAUAUUUAUUUAACUGUUCUAUAAAAUUAUUGAGUGCCUACAAAGGCCUUUAAACAUUUCUAACAUUUCUUUCCAUCAUUCUUAAAUGACAUAAAAUAAUUGUGCAAUGUUCCUGAUGAUGUACUCAGCAAGCUGCAUCCAGACUCGAAUCUGUUGGAAUGAAUAAUCCAACAAAAUGCAAUUUGGAUCAGAUCCUCAUCCCUUGACUUUGUGUGAAAGAAGUACUCUCCUUCUAAUAAAGGAUUGUCACAGAGGUUCACUGGAUGAGACUCUGAUCUAGCGGUCUUACUGUAUUUUACAUAUGCCUGUAAAUUAUUUGGGGGAAAAAAAAAAGAGGAUAAUAAAAAGAACAGAAAAAAAUUGAUAUCUUAACAUGGCAACUAACUACCAAACUACCUUAAAAACAAAUAUUGGUGAGCCUCCUCUCUAUGUUCUGUUUGUUUCUGUUUCAAAACCAUUUCACAUACACUACUGAGUUAAGUUUAUAACUUGAAAUGUGAACUUUUUUUUUUUUUAGGGGUAAGAACAAACUAUAUAAAUGUUAAAAAAAAAAGCUUUAGUGUUCUU
rnacentral:lncRNA from 1 species